GAAAUAAGUAAUUCAAAAGAAAGCUUCUAACUUAUCUUUUUAGCGAUGAAAUUGCGCUAUUAUUUCU
rnacentral:tRNA from 1 species